GAAGUCAGCUGUCAGCAGUGCAGGAAGCAGACUAUUAAGAGGAAACAAAGGCGUCAUUAGGAGCCCUGCUGUCACUGUGGAUUGAGCCUGCAUGCUGAGCCCUGAGGGCACGCUGCGCAGUGGGCCUCCUAGGCAGGGAUGGAGAAGGCAGCUGGAGGCCUUGGCAGUGAGGACCCCUAAAG
rfam:Pteropus vampyrus cont1.224739, whole genome shotgun sequence.